UACAGGGGGGGCAAGCGUUGUUCGGAAUUACUGGGCGUAAAGCGUGCGCAGGCGGUUCGACAAGUCUGAUGUGAAAGCCCCGGGCUCAACCUGGGAAUGGCAUUGGAAACUGGCGAGCUAGAGUGUGGCAGAGGGGGGUGGAAUUCCGCGUGUAGCAGUGAAAUGCGUAGAGAUGCGGAGGAACACCGAUGGCGAAGGCAGCCCCCUGGGCUGACACUGACGCUCAGGCACGAAAGCGUGGGGAGCAAACAGG
rnacentral:rRNA from 1 species